rnacentral:rRNA from 1 species
CCUACGGGUGGCAGCAGUAGGGAAUCUUUCACAAUGGGCGAAAGCCUGAUGGAGCAACGCCGCGUGCAGGAUGAAGGCCUUCGGGUUGUAAACUGCUUUUAUAAGCGAGAAAUAUGAUGGUAACUUAUGAAUAAGGAUCGGCUAACUACGUGCCAGCAGCCGCGGUCAUACGUAGGAUCCGAGCAUUAUCCGGAGUGACUGGGUGUAAAGAGUGGCGUAGGUGGCAUAAUAAGUAGCUAGUGAAAUCUGGUGGCUCAACCAUUCAGACUAUUAGCUAAACUGCUAAGCUCGAGACCGUUAGGGGUAACUGGAAUUUCUAGUGUAGGAGUGAAAUCCGUAGAUAUUAGAAGGAACACCAAUAGCGUAGGCAGGUUGCUGGGACGGUUCUGACACUAAGGCACGAAAGCGUAGGGAGCAAACGGGAUUAGAUACCCGUGUAGUC